UACGGAGGGGGCUAGCGUUGUUCGGAAUUACUGGGCGUAAAGCGCACGGUAGGCGGCUUUGUAAGUUAGAGGUGAAAGCCCGGAGCUCAACUCCGGAAAUUGCCUUUAAGACUGCAUCGCUUGAAUCAUGGAGAGGUUAGUGGAAUUCCGAGUGUAGAGGUGAAAUUCGUAGAUAUUGGAAGAACACCAGUGGCGAAGGCGACUAACUGGACAUGUAUUGACGCUGAGGUGGCGAAAGCGUGGGGAGCAAACAGG
rnacentral:rRNA from 1 species